UAUCUCACGAUAUAAACUAAAAAGAAGCUAUCUAUGAAAAUGCAUUGCUAAGUGUGGAUUCAUCUCAUAGAGAUAAAACUUUGUUUUGAUAUAACAGAUUGGAAACACUUAUUUUGUAGAAUCUACGAAGUGACAUUUUUGAGCCCAUUGAGGCCUAUAGUAAUAAACUGAAUAUCCUGUGAUAAAAAAUAGAAAGAAGCAUCUGUUAACAUGCUUUGCAACCUGUGGAUACAUCUCACAGAGUUAAACUUUUAUUUUGAUUCAACAGUUUGAAACAGGCUUUUUGUAGAAUCUACAAAGGAACAUUUCUGAUGCUAUCUAGGCUUAUAGCAAAAAAAUGAAUAUCCCUUGAUAAAAACUAGAAGCAAACUAUGUGAAAAUGCUUUGUGAUGUGUUGAUUCAUCUCAUAGAGUUAAACCUUGGUUUUGAUUCAACAGUUAGAAAUACACUUCUUUCAGAAUCUAUGAAGGAACUUUUCCGAGCCAAUUAAGCCCUAUAGUAAAAAACCAAAUAUUCCACGAUAAAUACUAGAAACGAGCUAUCAGAGAAGAUGCUCGGUAAUUUGAGGAUUUAUAUUACAGUGUUAAAUUUUUGUUUGCAUUAAGCUGGUUGGAAACACUCUUUUAGUAAAAUCUACAGAGGGACAUUUCUGCAGUUCUUCAGGCCUAUAGUAAGCAGCUGAAUAUCCUGCUCUGAAAAGUAGAAACAGGCUAUCUGUGAAAAUGCUUUGUGAUAUGUGGACUCUUCUCACUGAGUGGCACCUGAGUUGUGAUACACCAGACUGGAAACACUCUUUUUCUAGAACCUAUAAAGGGACAUGUCUGAGGCCACUGAAGCCUAUAGUGAAAAACUGAGUAUUCCAUGAUAAAAACUAGAAACAAGCCAUCUGUGAAAAUGCAUUGUGUUAUUUGGAUUCACCUCACCAAAUUAAAGAUGAGUUUUGAUUUAGUGUGGAAAACACUCUUUUUGUAGAAUCUAUGAAAGGAUAUUUCUGAGCCCAUUGAGGAUCUAUAGUAAAAAAAUCUAUUAUCCUGUGAUAAACACUAGAAGUAAGCUAUCUGUGAAAAUGCUUUGCCUUGUGUGGAUUCAUCUUACAGAGGUAAGCCAUUGUUUUAAUUCAACAGAUUGAAAACGUUCUUUUUGUAGAAUCUACAAAAAGACAUUUCUGAGCUUAUUCAUGUUUAUAGAGAAUAACCAAAUAUUUUGUGAUAAAAACUAGAAACUAGGUAUACGUGAAAAUGCUUUGCAAUGUGUGGAUUUAUCUCACAGAGUGAAACCUUUAUUUUCAUUCAAGAGGUUGGAAACACUCCUUUUGUAGAAUCUAGAAAGGGACAUUUCUGAGACCAUUGAGGCCUUUAGUGAAAAACAAAAUAUCCCAUGUUAAAAACAAGAAAGAAGCUAUCUGUGAAAAUGCUUUGUAAUGUAUUAAUUCAUUUGACUAAAUAAAACCUGUGUUUUGAUUCACUAGGUUUGAAACACUUUUAUUUACAAUCUAUGAAGAAACAUUUUUGAGCCCUUUGAGGUCUAUAGUGAAAAAGUGAAUAUUCUGUGACACAAACUAAAAACAAGCUCUCUGUGAAAAUGCUUUGCAAUGUGUGGAUUUAUCUCACAGAGUUAAACUUUUUUUUUAUUCAACAGGUUGAAAACACUCUAUAUAGAAUCUACAAAGAGACAUUUCUGAGUCUAUUGAGGCCUAUAGUGAAAAUUCAAAUAUUUAAACUAAAAACAAGUUAUCAAUUAAAACGCUUUGUGAUGUGUGGAUUCAUCACACAGAGUUAAACCUUGGUUUUGAUUAAGCAAGUUGGAAACAUUCUUUUUUAGAAUCUAGAAGAGACAUUACUGAGUGCAUGAAGGCCUAUAGUGAAGAUCUGAAUAUCCCACGAUAAAAAGUAGAAACAAGUUAUCUGCGAAUAUGUUUUGUGAUGUGUGGAUUUAUCCCACUGAAUGAAACCUGCGUUUUGAUUCAAGUUGGAUAGACUCUUUUUGUAGGAUCAAUGAAGAGUCAUUUCUGAGCCCAUUGAGGCUUACUGUGAAAACUCGAAUAUUGCACUAUAGAAACUAGAAACAAGCUUUCUGUGAAAAUACUUUGAAAGCUGUGAAUUUGUCUCACCGAAUCAAACCUGUGUUUUGGUUCAACAAGUUGGAAACACUCUUAUUGUAGAAUCUACAAAGGGAUAUUUAUGAGACCAUUGAGGCCUAUAGUGAAAAAUGAAAUAUCCCAUUAUAAAACUAGAAACAAGCUAUCUGAGAAAAUGCUUUUUAACAUCUGGAUUUGUCUCACUGAGUUAAAGCCUUGUUCUAAUUCGUUAGACUGAAAUCACUUUUUUGUAAAAUCUACAAAGGAACAUUUCUAAGCUUAUUGAGGGCUAUAGUGAAAAAAUGAAUAUUCCACGAAAAGAACUAGGAACAAGCUAUCUGUGAAAUGCUUUGCGAUGCAUGGUUUUAUCUCACAGAGUUAAAUCUUUGUUUUGACUUAACAGGUUGGAAAUCCUUUCUUUGUAGAAUCUACAAAGGGAUGUUUCCGAGACCAUUGAGGCCUGUAGUAAAAAAUCAAAUAUCUCAUGAUAUAAACUAAAAAGAAUCUAUCAAUGAAAAUGCAUUGCAAGGUGUAGAUUUAUCUCAUAGAGUAAAAUUUUAAUUUUGAUUCAACAGGUGGUAAACACUCUUUUUUUUUUUUUUUUUUUUUUUUUUUUAGAAUCUAUGAAGGGACAUCAUUUCUGAGCCCAUUGAGACUUGUAGUGAAAAACCAAGCAUCCCCUGAUAAAUAGGUAGUAGAAACAAACUACCUAUGAAAAUGCUUUUUGAUUUGUGGAUUUAUCUCACAGUGUUAAAUUUUUGAUUUGAUUCAACUGGUUGAAAACAUUCUUUAUGUAGAAUCUAUGAAGAGACGUUUUUGAGCUUAUCGAGAUGUAAGGUGAGAAACUGAAUAUCCCGCUAUGCAAAGUACAAACAAGCUCUCUGUGAAAAUGCUUUGUUAUAUGGGGAUUCUUCUCACUGAAUGGAUCUUGUGUUGUGAUUCACUGGGUUGGAAACACUUUUUUUUAGAAUCUAUGAAGGGACAUUUCCGAGGCCAUCGAGGCCUAUAGUGAACAACAGAAUAUUCUGUGAUAAAAACUAGAAACAACCUACCUGUGAAAACGAUUUGUGAUCUUUGGAUUCAUCUCACCACAUGGAACCUGUGUUUUGAUUCAGCUGGUUGGAAAAACUCUUUUUGUGGAAUCUACCAAAGGAUAUUUCUAAGCCCGUUGAGGCCUAUAUUAAAUUGAUUAUCUCAUGGUAAGAACUAGAAACAAGCUAUCUGUGAAAAUGCUUUGCAUUAGGUGGAUUCAUCUCAUGAAGUUAAACCUUUGUUUUAUUCAACAGGUUGAAAGCAUUCUUUUUGUAGAAUCUAUGAAAAGACAUUUCUGAGCUUAUUCUGGUUUAUAGAGUAAAACCGAAUAUCCUGAAAUAAAAACUGGAAACUAGGUUGGAAACUUUUUUUGUAGAAUCUAUGAAGAAACAUUUCUGAGCUCACUGAGGCAUAUUUGGAAAAAUGGGUAUCUCACAAUACAAACUGGAAACAAGCUAUCUGUGGAAACGUUUUAUGAUGUGUGGAUUCAUGUCACAGAGUUAAUCCUUUGUUUUGAUUCAACAGUUUGAAAACACUUUUUUUGUAGAAUAUACAAAAAGACAUUUCUGAGCCCUUUGAAUCCUAUAGUAAAGAAACAAAUAUCUCACGAUAAAAACUAAAAAGAAAUUUUCUGUGAAAA